UCAGAAGCACGUGCGCCUUACGUAAUUUCCUGUUAUUCUUCGGUUUGCCUCCUCCCAGUGGCGUGGAUUUGCUCCCGACCCGCUUUUGGGGCGUGCCUGCUUCCUCCUCUCUGUUAGGUUCGACUGAUUCUCGUGCCUCAGCCUCCUCAGUAGCUGGGAUUACAGAUGAGCCCCAGAGAGGCGAAGCCACUUGAGCUCGUGAGUGACAGUCAGAUGUCAAGCCCUGCUCUUUCUAAAGCGUGCUGCCUUCAGAAAAGAAGAGCCAGAAGGAUGGAAAUUACUUCAGAAAGAUGAAUACCAGCUUUGAAGGAAUAAAAGCUGACGAGGAAUUGAAGGAGUUGAGGCACGAGCUUGAACAGGGUUGCAUGUUUGGCCCUUGAUUGUAAAUGCCCAUUGCUGCACCUGUUCCUGUUACUUGGGGAGUUGCAGCAGAAGGAACAGCGGCCUGGGACUCCAGAGAACUGGGUUCCCUCUCAUCCCUCCAGGGCCACCACUUCUUGUGGGCCCUUGGGCAAGUCACUGUACUUUCUGAGUCUCAGUUUCCCCAUUUGCAGAAUGGAAAUAACUACCCCGGUCUACCAACUUAGAAGAAUUGCUUUGAGGAUCUGAUAAGGUGGUGUGGAUGAUGCUGCCUUGGGGGCUUUACAGUCUGGAGCUCAAGGGACCCCUUAAGUUGGGCUUACUUAGUAACUCCAGGGGUGGGCAGAACAGGACUCCAAUGAGGGUUUUUUUCUUUUUCCCUUUUUUUUCUUUUCCUAUCUCUUAACUUUUAUCUUUAUUAUUUUACAAUGCCCUUGUAAGAUGAAACAAGUGAUGCUGAAAUAUCUUUUUCUUUUUUAACCUUUAUUUUAGAAUUGGGGUACAUGUGCAGGUUUGUUACAUAGGUACAGUGUGGGCUGCUGAGGUUUGGGAGUACGAAUGAAUUAGUCACCCCAGUGGUGAGCAUAGUGCCCGAUAAGUGGUUUUUUCAACCCUUACUCCCAUCCCUCUCCAUUCUUGUGUUCCCCAGUGUCUGCUGUUCCCAUUUUUAUGACCAUGUGUACUCAAUGUUUAGCUCCCACUUAGAAGUAAGAACAUGCCCAGCACUUUGGGAGGCCGAGGUGGGUGGAUCAUGAGGUCAAGAGAUCGAGACCAUCUUGGCUAACAAAGUGAAACCCUGUCUCUACUAAAAACAUAAAAAAUUGGCCGGGUGUGGUGGUGGGCACCUGUAGUCCUAGCUACUCGGGAGGCUGAGACAGGAGAAUCGCCUGAACCGGGGAGGUGGAGGUUGCAGUGAGCUGAGAUUGUACCACUGCACUCCAGCCUGGGUGACAGAGUGAGACUCCAUCUCAAAAAAAUAAAAAUAAAAAAAUAAAAAGAAUGUGGUGUAUG
rnacentral:lncRNA from 1 species